rnacentral:rRNA from 1 species
AGAGUUUGAUCAUGGCUCAGAGCGAACGCUGGCGGCGUACUUAACACAUGCAAGUCGAACGGGGAUCAUUGUGUGAGCAAUCAUGUGAUGGUCCUAGUGGCGCACGGGUGAGUAACACGUGGGUAACCUGCCCUCGAGACCGGGAUACCCCUUCGAAAGGGGGGCUAAUACCGGAUACGUUCCCUGGGUCGAAAGAUCUGAGGAAGAAAGGUGGCGCAAGCUGCCGCUCUUGGAGGGGCUCGCGGCCUAUCAGCUAGUUGGCGGGGUAACGGCCCACCAAGGCUAUGACGGGUAGCUGGUCUGAGAGGACGACCAGCCACACGGGGACUGAGACACGGCCCCGACUCCUACGGGAGGCAGCAGUGGGGAAUUUUCCGCAAUGGGCGAAAGCCUGACGGAGUGACGCCGCGUGUGGGAUGAAGGCCUUCGGGUCGUAAACCACUGUCAGUGGGAAAGAUGGGUGUCGGCGCGAUAACCGCCGGCAUCUGACGGUACCUGCAGAGGAAGCCCCGGCUAACUCUGUGCCAGCAGCCGCGGUAAGACAGAGGGGGCAAGCGUUGCUCGGAAUUACUGGGCGUAAAGGGCGCGUAGGCGGGAUGGCAAGUCGGUCGUGAAAUCCCUCGGCUCAACUGAGGAGCGUCGAUCGAAACUGCCGUUCUUGAGGGUUGCAGAGGAGACUGGAAUUCCCGGUGUAGCGGUGAAAUGUGUAGAGAUCGGGAGGAACACCGGUGGCGAAGGCGGGUCUCUGGGCAACUCCUGACGCUGAGGCGCGAAAGCGUGGGGAGCAAACGGGAUUAGAUACCCCAGUAGUCC